UAUGACAGGGAUGACGUCUCGGACAAUGAGGGGAUUCACGUUGUCAUCGACGACUAGAAUCAAGGUUCUCGAGGCUGGAACCACGACUAGAAUCAAGGUGCUCGAGGCUGGAACCAAGAGAAAAAAUAGAAAUUUUCGUCCACGGUUCGCUUCCUUGUU